rnacentral:rRNA from 1 species
GAAUGCUGACAUAAGUAACGAUAAAGCGGGUGAAAAGCCCGCUCGCCGGAAGACCAAGGGUUCCUGUCCAACGUUAAUCGGGGCAGGGUGAGUCGACCCCUAAGGCGAGGCCGAAAGGCGUAGUCGAUGGGAAACAGGUUAAUAUUCCUGUACUUGGUGUUACUGCGAAGGGGGGACGGAGAAGGCUAUGUUGGCCGGGCGACGGUUGUCCCGGUUUAAGCGUGUAGGCUGGUUUUCCAGGCAAAUCCGGAAAAUCAAGGCUGAGGCGUGAUGACGAGGCACUACGGUGCUGAAGCGACAAAUGCCCUGCUUCCAGGAAAAGCCUCUAAGCAUCAGGUAACAUCAAAUCGUACCCCAAACCGACACAGGUGGUCAGGUAGAGAAUACCAAGGCGCUUGAGAGAACUCGGGUGAAGGAACUAGGCAAAAUGGUGCCGUAACUUCGGGAGAAGGCACGCUGAUAUGUAGGUGAAGCGACUUGCUCGUGGAGCUGAAAUCAGUCGAAGAUACCAGCUGGCUGCAACUGUUUAUUAAAAACACAGCACUGUGCAAACACGAAAGUGGACGUAUACGGUGUGACGCCUGCCCGGUGCCGGAAGGUUAAUUGAUGGGGUUAGCGGUAACGCGAAGCUCUUGAUCGAAGCCCCGGUAAACGGCGGCCGUAACUAUAACGGUCCUAAGGUAGCGAAAUUCCUUGUCGGGUAAGUUCCGACCUGCACGAAUGGCGUAAUGAUGGCCAGGCUGUCUCCACCCGAGACUCAGUGAAAUUGAACUCGCUGUGAAGAUGCAGUGUACCCGCGGCAAGACGGAAAGACCCCGUGAACCUUUACUAUAGCUUGACACUGAACAUUGAGCCUUGAUGUGUAGGAUAGGUGGGAGGCUUUGAAGUGUGGACGCCAGUCUGCAUGGAGCCGACCUUGAAAUACCACCCUUUAAUGUUUGAUGUUCUAACGUGGGCCCCUUACCGGGGUUGCGGACAGUGUCUGGUGGGUAGUUUGACUGGGGCGGUCUCCUCCUAAAGAGUAACGGAGGAGCACGAAGGUUGGCUAAUCCUGGUCGGACAUCAGGAGGUUAGUGCAAUGGCAUAAGCCAGCUUGACUGCGAGCGUGACGGCGCGAGCAGGUGCGAAAGCAGGUCAUAGUGAUCCGGUGGUUCUGAAUGGAAGGGCCAUCGCUCAACGGAUAAAAGGUACUCCGGGGAUAACAGGCUGAUACCGCCCAAGAGUUCAUAUCGACGGCGGUGUUUGGCACCUCGAUGUCGGCUCAUCACAUCCUGGGGCUGAAGUAGGUCCCAAGGGUAUGGCUGUUCGCCAUUUAAAGUGGUACGCGAGCUGGGUUUAGAACGUCGUGAGACAGUUCGGUCCCUAUCUGCCGUGGGCGCUGGAGAACUGAGGGGGGCUGCUCCUAGUACGAGAGGACCGGAGUGGACGCAUCACUGGUGUUCGGGUUGUCAUGCCAAUGGCACUGCCCGGUAGCUAAAUGCGGAAGAGAUAAGUGCUGAAAGCAUCUAAGCACGAAACUUGCCCCGAGAUGAGUUCUCCCUGACUCCUUGAGAGUCCUGAAGGAACGUUGAAGACGACGACGUUGAUAGGCCGGGUGUGUAAGCGCAGCGA